rnacentral:rRNA from 1 species
AUGAACGCUGGCGGCGUGCCUAAUACAUGCAAGUCGAGCGAACAGACGAGGAGCUUGCUCCUCUGACGUUAGCGGCGGACGGGUGAGUAACACGUGGAUAACCUACCUAUAAGACUGGGAUAACUUCGGGAAACCGGAGCUAAUACCGGAUAAUAUCUUGAACCGCAUGGUUCACUAGUGAAAGACGGUUUUGCUGUCACUUACAGAUGGAUCCGCGCCGCAUUAGCUAGUUGGUAAGGUAACGGCUUACCAAGGCAACGAUGCGUAGCCGACCUGAGAGGGUGAUCGGCCACACUGGAACUGAGACACGGUCCAGACUCCUACGGGAGGCAGCAGUAGGGAAUCUUCCGCAAUGGGCGAAAGCCUGACGGAGCAACGCCGCGUGAGUGAUGAAGGUCUUCGGAUCGUAAAACUCUGUUAUUAGGGAAGAACAAAUGUGUAAGUAACUAUGCACGUCUUGACGGUACCUAAUCAGAAAGCCACGGCUAACUACGUG